UGAAAGAUGUACCCAUACUUGCAGUGCCAGUUAAAUUUCUACCUUGGUAAAUGUUUUUGACACAAUACGUGUUUAAUGUAAUUAAAAAAGUUAAUCAGCUACAAAGCUGUCAAAGAUUAUGGAAAGGUGGCUGGUGUUCAGAACUGGACAGUGUCAGGACACAAGGUGGCAAAGCUUUCAAUUACCACUUAAAAAAAAAAAAAAAAAAGUCUUUGCACAUUAACAAGAUCAGUCCUCAGCUUCCCCUAUGACGGCUGACUGAGAAGACGUUUUUGCGAAGCGAAUCCAACUGCUCUCAACUGUUUGUAAGAACAGUAAACUCAGGAAUACAACUCACGUCCCAAUCAGCAAGUUCGUCCUGGACCGCAUCUUUGUUUGUGACAAGCACAACAUCUUGUUCUGCCAGACACCCAAAGUUGGAAACACACAAUGGAAGAAGGUCCUCAUUGCUCUCAACGGAACCUUCACCAGUGUGGAGGAGAUCCCGGAGAACCUCGUCCAUGACCAUGAGAAGAACAGCCUGCCCCGCCUCUCGUCGUUCAAACCACAAGAAAUUGCACUCAGCAUUUUUCUAGUUGUGCUGACUGACUAAGUCCAUGAAAAGCAAUGGACCUGAGAUGUGUGGUUUGAAACCUUCAGGAAGUAUCCACAACGUUGUCGACACUUCCUCCCUCCUCCGCCUUUCUUCUGCUGUACACAACAUUAACCAACAAGGAGAGACCACCACAACAAACGCAGCAUCUGCCUAUUGAGGACGACGUGGUGCUUUUGUUGGCAGCGCGCAGGUGCCUGCAAAACAAGCCCGUCACGACCUCCUGCAGCUUCUCUACCAGGCACCCUAACACCGCUUUAACAUGCUCGGCUAGAGACACAAACUUACCCGGAAAGUGGCCGCCGCCGCUGGGGGGCUUUUGGAGUGUCCUGCCUCCGUAUCACGCCGACAUUUGUUACUGUCACUUUAUUGUGGCGACGCAAAACAUCCGGCUGGCUUCGAGCGUGACCCCGCCUGAGUGAGUCAAGCUCAAUGUGGUGACGACACGACUAACUUUCUGGGUGCCUUUCAAAAUAAAAAACCACGAGACUACUUUGCUCUAGGAGUUCUACGACGGCGUUACUGCUAUACUGAGCAACACCGGCCUAACAUUGCUUUGUUCGUAUGGCAUACUUCAUUAAAUUGAGGUGAGUGUCGUUUAGUUGAUUUUAGACGUUCGGUUGGCAUACCCUGUGGAGUUUUAUUUUCCCCAAAAGCGGAAACUACUUUUAUUCUACUUUGGUUUAAUGCCGCCUUUAAGGAUGUAUACCGCCCUCUGCUGUUUCGGAUUAGGUAAGACCAUAACAGACUCUUGUUACCUGCUAUUUA